GCGACAACUCUGUCCUGCUUCACCGUGAGUUUGCCUCUUGCCGCCGCCGACUCACCAUUCUUUCCAACGGGUUCAUGGUUGAUUUUCUUUUUUGAUGUUUUCUUCACCGGCGCUGGGUUGUUGCCAUAGCGCCGCUACCUUGCUGUUGGCAAGCUUGUAUCGCUGGUUUCCAGCUUCGUUUCUUGGCUUCGACUUGAUUUUGGUUGUUCAUCAUUAAUUGCAGGGGCAACUUUAUUUUGAUCCUGUCGGUCUUGCUGUUGUGGGCUUCACACGACAUUCAUUGCUUAGUGGUCGUCAUUGUUUCGUAGCUUGCAGCAUUAGCUUGAUAUUGUUUGGCUUGACUCCGACAUUUGUUUGAUGCCCUAAUUUCAGCAUUAUGCUUCUCAGACGAGAAGGCAUAUGAACAAAGAACAUCCGACCAACCUUGAGACUGCCUUCGCGUACCCCAACCGAACCAUGACAGAGUUGCUUGGAUACGUAACCACUAACAAGCAUAAGCUUAACAAGAGGAGGGUUCACGUGAUUGAUUACGUUAAGGGGUCCUUGGAAAGGUCAGUCGAGCAACAAGCUUGCAACAACACCGGUGCUUCUACUUUUGCUGUUGUUCGAUCAUCAAGCGGAACUACGAGUGAGGACCCUUUUCCUGACGAGCAAGAAGCCAUGACUCACCAAAAGCUUGACCUUGCAGCUCUAGUUUACGGUACAGACCCUGUUGCUGAAGUGGCUGCUAUGACUAUACAACUGGCCAAGCAAAGAGUCUCAGUUCCGAAGCAAUCUAUGUAGAUUACCGAGGAGGUUCUGAUUCCUAUUCUACCUACCACCACUCAAACUAAAGCACCGAAGGCAUCCAAGUGGAAGAGGGAUAAGGGAAAAGAUGUUGUUGAGGGCUUUGAGGAGCUGACUUCGGUUGAGGAGUGGCUGCCGCCUUUGGAGCAUGAGGGUCACCCUAUCACUAUGUCCGACAAUGUGACAGCUUCUCGUGAGUUGGCUUUCAAUCUAUUCAAGUGUUUUAUCGUGGUCUUUGACAAUUGGGCCAACAGUUUCAUGUUAUGGAGCAACGCCGCUUGGAGCAAAUAGUAGACUGCGACCAAACUACGAAGGUGCUAGUUGAUGCUGACCUUGCUCUAAAGUCAACCGAGGAGGAGACCGUCGCUGCUAAGAUGUUAGUCAUUGCUUAGGAGAAGGUGGUGUUGGAGGCUGAGAGAGUUUCUAAGGUGGCUCUGGACACCAAGAAAGAGGUUGAAUAGGGAAGGACUGAAAU